GACGAACGCUGGCGGCGUGCUUAACACAUGCAAGUCGAACGGAAAGGCCCUGCUUUUGUGGGGUGCUCGAGUGGCGAACGGGUGAGUAACACGUGAGUAACCUGCCCUGGACUUUGGGAUAACUUCAGGAAACUGGGGCUAAUACCGGAUAGGAGCUCCUGCUGCAUGGUGGGGGUGGGAAAGUUUCGGCGGUUGGGGAUGGACUCGCGGCUUAUCAGCUUGUUGGUGGGGUAGUGGCUGACCAAGGCUUUGACGGGUAGCCGGCCUGAGAGGGUGACCGGCCACAUUGGGACUGAGAUACGGCCCAGACUCCUACGGGAGGCAGCAGUGGGGAAUAUUGCACAAUGGGCGGAAGCCUGAUGCAGCAACGCCGCGUGCGGGAUGAAGGCCUUCGGGUUGUAAACCGCUUUCGCCUGUGACGAAGCGUGAGUGACGGUAAUGGGUAAAGAAGCACCGGCUAACUACGUG
rnacentral:rRNA from 1 species